rnacentral:tRNA from 1 species
UGGGGUAUCGUCUAAUGGUAGGACAACGGUUUCUGGCACCGUUAAUUGAGGUUCGAGUCCUUGUACCCCAG